GCACGCAUUGCGCCUCGAUUCUUCCCACAUCAAAAUCAAAAGCAGUGUUCCUUUUCUAAUGGAACAGUACCACUGCUCCUCUCUCUCCCCCCAUCCCCUCUUUCACCCUUUCCAAAUUUAGGGUUUCUCCUCCUCUGCCGCUAACACCGCGCGCCGUAAUUCUUGCUGCUUAAUAUGUAUACAUACGCACGCACAUGUGCGUGUAUGUUUAAUUCCAUCGAAUUUGUGUAUUUUCAAGAUUCUUCACAUCAAGACCGCUCCGUCAGAGUUGUUAAUCUUGGAUUUUCUUAAAUUGGAGGAGAAAAUCAAUUAAAGGGGUUUAGGGUUUAGCGAUUUGGUGUGAUAUUGAGAUGGAUUGUUGUGUAUCAAUUUCAGACAAAAUUCCAGAUCUUGAGAAAGCCCCGCGCGCAAUUGUUUCAAAUUAAUAUAAUACGUACUCCUAAUUCUCUAAUUCCUCGUAUAAAUAUAUGUAGUACAUAGUGGUGGUUAAUUUGUAUGUAUGGUAGUGUUUCCCUGAUGGUAUAUUGAACAAAUCUGUCUGACAAUUAGUAGCAA